UACGUAGGGUGCAAGCGUUGUCCGGAAUUAUUGGGCGUAAAGAGCUCGUAGGCGGUCUGUCGCGUCGGCUGUGAAAACCUAGGGCUCAACCUGGGCCUGCAGCCGAUACGGGCAGACUAGAGUUCGGUAGGGGAGUCUGGAAUUCCUGGUGUAGCGGUGAAAUGCGCAGAUAUCAGGAGGAACACCGGUGGCGAAGGCGGGACUCUGGGCCGAUACUGACGUGGAGGAGCGAAAGCGUGGGGAGCAAACAGGA
rnacentral:rRNA from 1 species